UUCCCUCUGAAAUCUCCCUCAGGAUAGCUAGUGCCCUCCCAGAGAUGUUGCUGAAAACUCCACAGUUUUAUCUGGUAAAGCAAAUUAUUAGAGGUCUUACAGCUGAAAUAAUCUCAACCUAUCCUCAAAGAUUAAAUGGAUAAGCAGCCGGCUUGCUGGCGUGGAAUCCAUAGCGGAAUGUGAGUCCCUAGUGGUACUUUUGGUAGGCAGAACUGGUAUUGCCAGAUGAACCGAACAGGUUGAGGCCCACUGGACCCCACUGACGUUCAUCAGACUCCAGGAAAGGUGUUGGUUGGUGUAGAUAGCAGGACAGUGGCCAUGGAAGUCAGAAUCUGCUAAGGAGUUUAUAACAACUCACCUGCUGAAUCACGUAGCCCUGAAAAUGGAUUUCACUGGAGUGUCUGGCCCAUCCAGCUGUCAGUUUGGGAGCAGUUUGGGAGCAGUUUGGGAGCAAACGCUCACUGCUUCUGGAUCCCACAGAAGCUAUGCUUUGAUGAGUAGGAGGAUCUGUGCAGUGAAGCCUUGAAGCCUAGGACACGGGGCCAGGUGGAGCCAUUGCAGGUG
rnacentral:ncRNA from 1 species